UCCAUCCAUCUCAUUCAAUUGCCCCAACCACAACUCCACUGCCUUAUUCCAAUUCAAAUUAAGUCAUCUAACUGCUCACAAAACCUUAUGCUCCAAUUCUAUUAGCAGAUGGCAUGCAUUACGAUAAACCAGUUGGUAUGGUGACAUGCCGAUAGGCAUCUUAAAAGCUGUUCUAUAUGCCUAAAGUGCAUCUUCAAGCUUCCUAGACCAGUCU
rnacentral:lncRNA from 1 species